UUAUUAUCUUUAUAUUAAGACCUUAAGCCUCUGCAGCAGGAUGGGAAAAAAUGCCAGGCAAGAACUGUGAGAAGGCUUUGUUCUGAAGAUAUUUUCUAAGUCUACCAUGAGAAUUUGAAGAUAAACUACUGAAUGACAAAUAUUUUCAUUCAGUUGUUUCUAUCACUUGCUGAAUUGUUCAGUUCCAUCUACAGCGAAUGAUUUUGCUAUCACUGCUGUCAUUGGUACAUUUGGUAGUUCGGGUGAUCUUUAUUUUGCUUCAAGAUGACCAUAUGAAGACUCCAUUAAGUAUAAAGGCAUGUUUUACUUAGCUUGAAUUCAGAUAGCAAAGGUGUGUAAUGCCAUAUGAAGUGUUUGGUUACCAAGGACAUCUGCAAGAUUUUGGCCGAUUCAGUGCAGCACCUGCAGAAAAUCUACAGACAUUGGAAUCUCAGCAGCAGGGCAGAUGCAGUGGCCUGCAGCAUCUCAGAUUGCUUAGAUGUCUAUGAUGAUACCAAUCACAGAACCACAGAAUCGCAAGGUUGGAAGCAACCUACAACGCAUACAUACAGCCCCUUUUCAGCUUUUUCGGAGUGAUGCCAUGUUAAUCUAGUGAAGUGAGGUCCUGAUCCUUACCGACAGAGAGAACACUGGAAUUCAUUCUCCUUCAAAAACAAAGAAAGAACAACAAGGGAGGGGGAAGGAUUUUCAUUCAUGACUGACUGAGAGCCUGGGAAAGCUGCAAUUAUCUGCAGUGACUGCACUAGAAGGACACCUGAGAGUGAGUUCUUUUCCUGGAAUUAGAAAGCGGGGGUGAAUGUGACGAAGACUCAGGCCUUGAUAUUAAGGAAGUCAUUUAUAUAAAAUGCAGCAUGCCAUCCCAACAACUGAUAAAAACUCAGAGAAUCAUGACAGCUGAAACAGAAACAUCUGCCUCUUUACAACACUCAUUGCAAAGUAGUAGUUUCCAGUGAAAAUUCCUGUGACAAAAGUGAAGGGGCUGUCUGCUAUUCAGGGUAUGGCAGAUGGCAGUGGGUCAUGUAGCGUAGCUCCCUGAUGCUGUUCAUUUUCUAAGCUGGUUGGUUUCAUUUGACAGUUCUACUCAGAAAUCAUUAACCUGAUUUGCCCGUGUCUGUCAUGUCUCUAGCAUAAUGCAUCUUCACGAUAUAAGGUAAACUGGGUACCUGGAGGGUAAAGGAAAUAAAAAAGACUCAUAGCCUAUAUAAAUCAAAAGAAAAAGGAGAAAAGGAAGCCACUUAGAAGAGCAGGUGUCAUUGAUUGACUGUAAUUUUAAAGGGUCUUUCUUAUGAUGGACAAAUUUCUGAAGUGUUCAUUAACUAAUGGAAUUAUGGUGGCUGACUGCUGAUGUCUCCACAGAACAUCAGGUUAAAAAGCACAGAUAAAUAAUGGGUUUUCCUUUAUCACAGAUCGGUGUCCUCACUGUCUGGAGCUUGUGUGAGAUGCUGGAAAGGAUCAAAGGGCUUUCAUUACUGAAAUUCAUGUUUAUGUUUGUCUGUUCCUCAAUAAUAGUAUGCAUAUGCACAAGGGAAUAGGAAGGGGAAAAGAAAGGAAGAUGGAAAUGUUGCCAGCAGAGAAGAAAAUUCUUCAGAAAUGCUUCAUAAUAAAUGCAUUUCCUACUGCAAAACACCAAAUGAAACUGAACUCAGGGGGUUAAACAAUAGAGGCAUAGCACCUGGGCUUUCAUAUAUUCAAUUAUCCAGAAAACAAAAUCAAUUUUGUUUUUGUUAAUAGCACUGAAAUAUGCAUUACACUAUUUUAAUUAAAGCAGUCUAUUACGCUUGCCAUUCAGUUCAUUCCUGCAUAUUCCCCUAGGGCAGUAGUCAUGUACUGUGAUAAAACAUAAUGAAAAUAAUUUAUAAAAGAAACAAUACAAUAAAUCAAUCUGAUGCCUAAUGAACCUUCAUUACAAGCAUGGAUGCAAUAUUUUCUUAUAAUAUGUAGUGCUUUCUCCUUAAAUUAUUGGAAGAAUGCCUCAAAGCACUUAAAAAAAUAGCACCUUUCUUCAUCUCAGCAUGCAUUCAAAGCAUCAUAUCUUAAAAUUUCAGCAGAUCUUGGCAAAACAAACAGCAAUCCCUUUCAUUUACACUAGCUUUCUGUUUUUUUCUCUUAUCUUUAGUUAGAUUCAUCUGCCUCAUAGUGACACCUGUAGAGACCACAGGGAUUUCACUCAUUUGCAUACUUUAGCAGUCAGCUCUUUAUUGUCUGUAUUCCAGUAGACCUAAAUUUUAUAGGUGAGAUAAUUUUAUGUCUGGGGACGUGAGCUAUUCAAACAUCAAAUAUAAAACAAGCUGUUCCCUGAAGAUCUCACAGUGCCAGCAGGCAAACAGAAAGCUAAAAGGUGAGAGAGAGGGGCCAUUAACAUUUUCAUACCAGACAAAUGAAGAAGGGCAAUGAGCAGAGGUGAUGUAUUCUAAAGGAUUCUGGAUGCUACCUCUGAAAGACCAGAAAUCUACUGGAGGAACAGAUUUCAUCAAUGACUAUGCAGAAUGUCCACGGCCCAGCCCAGUCCUUCCAUCCUCUAUAUGUUCACUAUGUCAUGAGAAUCUUCUACAUAUGCUGCUGCAAGGUUAAGUUCUACCUCAUCUUGCUCUCUUGUACAGGGUAGCCAUAAUUCUGGCAGCUGUGAAUAAACAGUUAGUCAAUGGGAAUUCUCAGUGCCACAACUGAGCCUUUAGUAGACCUGAAGUUCCUGUGUAGGAAUUCAAAAAUAAAAACUAUUGCUCUGGUUAUUUAUUAUUUUUUCAGGAAAAAUUGGAUGUAAAGAAAAAUAAUGGUUCAAGAUAAAUAGUAUCAAUUACUUAAACACUGUUGGAGAGCAGUGCCAGAGCUAUUAGCUUCUAUGCGCUUGUCUCCUCUUGCACCAAACCACAAAGCUGCUCUAGAGUACCGCAGGACAAGCUGCUGAAGCAGUUUGCAGAGACACUCCAACACAUUCCAGGCAGGCACCCAGAGGAGCAGUGCUAGCCAGCUGCCAAAAUGGCCUGGCAGGAGUUCAUUCCAGAAGUGUCUGCUGGUUGGGAACAUACCCACUCACAGGAAGCUGCUUUGAACCCUAACACCCAGUUCAUACUGGGGUACAAAUUCAGCAGGAACAAGAAUCAUUGUCAGCAACAGCUAACAGCCACUACUCCAUACCAUCUUGUCUUUUUGAGGAAUAGUGUCUCCUGGCUGGCCAAGGUACUGUUGUUGCUAGUCCUGUAAUUGCUGUUGGAUUAGAGUGAUGAGGUGCUGGAACAGGCUGUCCAGGGAAGUUGUGGAUGCCCCAUCCCUAGAGGUGUUCAAGACCAGAUUGGAUGGGGCCCUGGGCAGCCCAGUCUAGUAUUAAAUGUGGAGGUUGGUGACCCUGCAUAUGGCAGGGAGGUUCAUGAUCCUUGAUGUCCCUUCCAACCCGGGCCAUUCUGUGAUUCUGUGUUGCAGGUAGCUGUUACAGGCUUGUCCUCUAAUCUGGGAGAGAGGGUAUAAAGUCCUUGGAAGCAUGCUAAUAUAUGCAGUAUUAAACAUGUCUAAAGAAGCCACAGAUCCCGAGGUUACUACCAGCAGCCUUAGGUUGACAAAAAAGACAAGCCGUCUGUUCUGUGGUUCUAUAAAUACUUUACCACAAAUUUUUAUUCCUUUUGCCUAUAAAACAAAAAACAUUUUGCUGAAAUAGGUAAGCAAACUUAAAAUGGUCAGAAAAAGCUCACGCAGACAAGCAGGUAACAUAAAUUCUUUGCAUUUUCUCUUGGUAUUCAUAGUUUCUGCCAUAUGUGACUUUUUUUCUAGCUGAAAAAUCAUUUUACUUGUCAGAAAUGGUGUUCAUGUAUGAAAAACUACCCUAGAUGGAAAAAAGUGAUUUUGAGUGUUACUGUUGCCAUUGUUUGCUCCUCUAGCCCAGUUUUCUGACUGCUACACUGGUUUCAGUAGAAAAAGUAAUGAUUUUGCUCCAUUUUAAAUGGCACCACAUUAGCACAAAAGAAAAAGAAAGCCAAUGAUUCCAUUCAGAUUUUAGAUUCCUUUGUUUCAAUAGAUCUUAUCUUUCUAAGUAAAAUAAGUGGAAAGCAUUAGCUGUCACUUGUUUUCCCUUUUAAUAAUCAGUAGCUUAUUUUAGGUAGAUAGAACAGAAAUGGAUAAGGAUAUAAAAUCCCAAGUAUCACAUUAAAAGCUACUGUUAUUUGCCCCCAGAACUGUCCUUCCUGAGGGACUUGUUACCACACAAUUAUUGGCUGAAAGUUUUGCUCACCUUUCUUUCAUCUUUCUUUCCAUUCUUUGUUAACAAGAAACUAACAGAUGGACUGUUGGAUUCAAGUAGAAUUACUAUCUGUUGUAUUCAUAUGCCUCACUGUAUAUUAAUUACAUGUAAAAAUGUAGAUGAUUAUUGACAGAUAUUUAUUUUCUUGCAGAAAAGAACUUGCUACUCAUUGCAACUAUUCCAUCCAGUUCCAUCAUUUCACAUAGACAGAAGCCUGAGAAAAACUUAGGGAAUAAGCUAUACUGUAAAGUAAAUUAAUUAAAAUAUAAUUAAAAGUGAUAAAGUUACAGCAUAUGCCAACAUCUAUCAAAUCUUGAUUGGACAUGAGUGAACUGGAAUUUAUUAUGUGGUCAAAUUUGAACAAUUUUCAACAAAAAGAAAGAAGAAGCUUCUGCCUGAUGAAUACACAUCAACUACUUUUGAUGCAAAUACUGAAUCUUUCUUAGGAGUCUACAGUCCAUAUGUAGAGAUUCUUUCCUAAAGUCUUUGCUUGGUUAUGUGAAAAUAAAAUAUCUUAGGGUUUUUUAACAUGCAAUGAAAAUUAAAGAAGUGUGGCAGAUAGAUAUACUACAAAGAAGAAUUUUCACUCUCUGAAGUACAGCAAAUUAACAAAUAACUGAAGUAGCUUUGGCUAUUAACAAAACAUUUAGGCAAUCUCUAAAUGUAGGCACUGCCAUAUAUGCUUAUUUCUGUAUACAUCAAAUUCUGCUCUCUGUUAUAAAUCACAGCCAAUACCUGUCUACAAAAUGAAAGAAUUUUGGCCUAGUACCUCUUUGGGGUAUCUCAUUCUGUUAAAUAACUUACUUCUGAGAAACUUAGCUAGAUAUUCACUGUUCAGUAACUCAUGAUUGCCUUUUUAAUUAAAAGCUUGAACCUUACUUUAUACUCAUUAAUCAUAUUAGAUUGGAGUGUUGAUAUAGUGGGCAUAGUUCACCUCUCAGUCACAUUAAUAGAAAUUUUAUUGAAAUGCAUAGUAAGUUGCUUGAGGAUUUAGAAAUUCUUCUUUUAGCUGCUCUAUUUCCACAUAGCCUAGCCUAAUUCUGUACCUAGCACUACUACUGCCUUUCCGCAGAUUCACUUUUGAUCCACCCGAUCACAUUGCAUGAGAGAAGCCAGGCUAACACAAAAAGAAGCGGUGGGACAUGAGACUCACUUGUAUGUUCUGAGAAUCUCUUUGCUUCAUGACUGAUGUCAAAUGAGCUCCUUAGCUUCAUCAGACAAGAUUUGAACUCUGUCAUGUACACAAAGCAUACAAAGCUGAGGUGCAACUCAAGCCUUAAUCCACACCUACUCAUCCACCAAUCUCAGAGUUAUUUACACUGUGUUCUCCUACUUCAUAUGCCCAAUAGCACACGCUGACUAUACAGAUAUGUGCUGUUUAUUUUUAAUAAGCAUGGCUCCUUCAGUGAGUGUCCAUUUUCCCACAAAAAUCAGUAUCAAAAAUUAAGAUGAUUUCAGUGUUUCAGCACUGGGUCUGACAAGUCUGGCUUUUAUAAGAAAUACAAGCCUGAGCCUCUGCUGGUAUAAAUCAACACAAGUCCCCACUGGAGCUAGGCUAAUCUACACAAGAACAGGAUCAAACUUUAUGUAUUAUUUUCUUUCUCUUCUGUCUUGCUGGCAAGAACCCAACAGCAAAGCUUUUUGUGCAUUUGUUUCACUUUGUGUAAGGUCAGCUAAGGUUUUAUGUAAAACAGAUGGGCAAACUUAAAAAUGAUUUUUCACAUUGCAUUGAAAACCAGUAAAAAAGCAAAAGGGGGAAAAUUACUCUUUUUGUUCUUUCAAAGGUUGUUGCAAUGACCUUUAUUUUACCCAGUGUCUCAAUUUUAAAAAAGGAAAACAAACCCCUGUUUUUAUUACAGUGGAAAUGUUUUCUCUGCUGUUCAUGGAGGUCUUAAAGAGAAUCAGCAAGAGGACGAAAAUUCCCAGUGGUUCAUUGGCAGUUUUAAAAUGGGAGCAUGAUGCCCAAGUUACAAAACAAGGACUAUAUUUAAAUAUUCUUUAAUUUAGGCUGCUGCAUUUUUGUUCUCACAAGUCUGUAAUUUUGUGGGAACUAAUCCUGUGGAACUGAAACUGUAUACAUAAGUUAGAAGGCAUUACUGCACAACAAUUUUAACCAGCCUGUCCUCUUUAAAAACAAAAAACAAAAAACACGAAUUGGAUUUCAUGCUUACAGAACGUUUCAUUCUAGGACACACAAACCAGAAGUUCACAAGGCUUCUGUGGCUGUUUGCUGAAGCAGAGUGGAUUUUCCAAUGGAUCAGGUUCUUCUCACUUAUUAGGACUGGCAUAUUUAGAAAUUUCCAUUUAUUCAAAUGCCUGUAGGCUGCAGUAUGCCAUCCAUACUGUCUGCUGUGGAUACUGGGGAUAUCCUUAAGCCAAAAAGAAAAGCCAAGGAGAAGCCAGUUUGUGCUAUCUGCAGCCACAGCCGUGUGCUCAUCCCUUGAGCCUCAGCUCCUGAGGCUACAUUCAACCAAGAUGUGAACCAGGGGGAGAGUAUUGAAGAAGAUCCAGAAAACAGGGAGGGUCAGUAUACAAAUUCCCUAAGGUGAGAACAGAUCAGCAAAUGAUCUACAGACAAGCAGGAGAUGGCAAUAAAGUAGAAAGAGAUGACUAGAAAUGGAAGAACAGUCUUCAAGUACGUAGAAAGAUACUGUAAAGAGGAAGUUUAUAACUUGUUCUGUAUAUUAAUGAAUCAAAAUAAAAAUUAGGAGAAUUCACAUUAGGACAAAAAAAAUGGAGUGAUAAGGACUCACCAAGACAGGUGGGGCUAGUGAUCUUCUCACACUGCCAUCAUCUCUUUAAUGACAAUUUUGACGAACAUCUGGUAGAAGUGACACAGGCAGCGCUGAUUCUGUCUUGAACAUGCAGAAUAGACAAAGCUGACCUCACAAGGUCUUUCCAGUUUUCUAAGUAUGGUUGCAUGCAUCCAUGUGCAUAACAUCCAGAUCAUGAGUAUGGUAGCAAAAAUGUACAUCUGUUUGAAGAGACUUUUAUGACUUCAUUGAAGUUUUGAGAGGACUAAAAUGCUAUGAGGAAGCCUGUCCAGGCAUUGACGUAAUAUGUACACACUGACCAAAAUAAACUUUUGGUUAUGCAUAUAUAUGCAUUUCUAUUAGUUAAUUUCUAAAGCUUAUAAAAACAGCUACAACAGUGUACAAGGGUUGCUCUGAAAGUAAUGCCCUCCUAUUUUAUUAUGUUGGCCUGCACCAUCAGAGGUGAAUGCUGGUGGGAUGGCAGUAGAGGUCGAACCUUCCCACCAAUAUCCCAUCACAUCUUGUUGCCGUGUGGCAGAUGGCAGCAAAGGAGCAGUCUGACAAAAUGGCAUCUGACAUGGAAGUGCGUAUGGACCAAAGGAGUGGAAUUUAAUUCCUCCAUGAGUUAAAAAUGGCACCCACUGAUAUUCACUGUUGCUUGCUAAAAGUUUCUGGAGACCAAACAGUAGAUGUGAGCACAGUGAGGUGGUGGGUGGUGUGUUUCAGCAAUGACACCAUCAUAGCAGCUGUAGAGUAGUGGGUCACCUCCACUGGUGUGGAGAUUUCUAUAAGCAUGCAGGCUGUCAUUCACUGCUGGUGAAGAUGCAUAGCUAAUGGUGCUGACUCUAUUGAGAAGUCGUGAUUUGUCGCUGAGAAUUUUCUCUAUCACAUAGUGUUAUUGUCCUCUUUGUGCCUGUUGUAGUUUCCAUGGAAAUAAAUAGGAGGCAUUACUUUCUGAGCAACUCACCUUAAACUGUAUUAAUAUUUAGUUACACAAUAUUUUAAAUAUUGGAAAGUAAUGAAUGCAUUUUCAAACAAAAUGACUACAUGACUGUUUGCAAGCCAGCAACUCAUAUUUCAUCUAGUUUUGUGCUGGCUAAAUACCAUUUAACCAGUUUAGGCUUUCCUGUCUAAGAGUAGCUGUGUAUUUAUGUGUUCUCUUAGGCUAAUGUAUCAAUUAACCAUGUAUUUAUUUGCAGUCUAGUGCUGGGAAAAAAAAAAAAGAAGACAAGAAGAAAAGAAAGCUUAGAGUGAAGUUGAGACAAAUUGAUGGCAUUACUAAGCGUUUAAUUCAUUGAACUCUACAGGAAGAGACAAUUCUCAGAAUGAAGGAACUGAAGCUGACUCUGUAACCUAAAACUGACUGAAUUAAAGUUACUCGGGGGGAAAAAAGGGAAAAUGACCUAUCGUAGGUUCAUGUACAAUUGAGCUUCAGAGGCCUUUUCAGAAUAGAAAUGUGACAAUCCUUUAAAACUGGAAAAAAAUAAUCAAGACAAUUUUCAAUUUUUGUUUACCUUCAAACAUUUGAGAAGACAAAAAGUCUUAAAACAGUCGAAAAUGCUUGGGGUAUUUAAAAAUUAAAAUACUUUGAUGUACACGGACAAAUUGAAUCCAGGAUGCAUCUGCAAGAACAAUAGAAGUAAUAAAGCUGCUGACUGCUAGCAACUGCUAUAUGUUUAGUCUAGGAGCUUAAAAAUGGUUGUGGAAACUAAAGCAAGAAUGAUUUUUAUUGCAGAUGGCUGUGAUGGUUUAAGAGUGAAGUCGGCAUUAUGACUUGCAUUUAAAACUGAAUAUUUGGAAACUGAAUAUAUUACUGAAAUAAAGAUAGCAACCUUAACCACAAAUAACUUGAACUGAUGUAUUAGUACCUCACAGUGGAAUUAGGAUGAGGGUUUUUUUAAUUUUCUUUUUAUUUUUUAAAUGAAGGAUUGCAUCCUGAACUUACUGUAGCUCACUCCAUCCUACUCCUGCAUUCAUUUGAAGAUAGCACCUACAGAUUAGAUUACAAAUACCUGCUACUUAAGUAGUCCUUAGAACUUCAGGACUCAGGAGAAUGCUCUUUUUUUCUGUGAUCAGGAAGAAUGUAGGAAGAGGAUAUUAAUGAAUAACCAGAAUUGUUUCCCUAGGAACUUUAAGCAACUUUAAUAAAUUAAUGGUAAUUUAAUUGCUAACUUUGACUUAUUGCUUGCCAGCUUAGUAUGUCAUCGUCUAGAAAGCGUUUGAUAAUAGUGAAAAAGCUCAGCAUUGCUUACAGUGCUUUAAAUUUUACAAGAGCAAAACAAUUACAUCAUUUUCUUAAGCAAAUGGAAAUAACUGAUUUCUUAUGCAGGAAGCUAAGAAAACAGACUAGCAUGAAAGGACACACUCUUAAUUUAAAAUAUAUUUCCAUAUAUAUACACUGUAAGUCUCCAAUUACAGCUGUGCAGAAUUGAUCGUCUGGGUGUUGAGAAACAAAUGGUCUUACCCUUCUGAAAAUUACGAAUAUACAAUUUAAGGAACUUGUUUUUUAAAUAACAGAGCUUGGGUUCUUUUUAUUUGCCUUUGGCUUUCAAGCUUUUAGAAGCACUUGAGUCAUGUUUUCAUGCUUUUCUGUUCAGCUAAAAGAAGAAGAAAUUAAUUUUUUAAACGAUGCCCAAGAAUCUUACAUGAUCACACCACUCCAGGCAAUUGGACUUGAGAAUAAAUACCCAACACUGUGAAACUUUUGAUAAAAGCAUGGAAAUAUCUACAUAGUAUUAGUAUUCUGUAUGUGUUUUAAAACAGAAGUCUCUCUUUUAGGAUGGCAGUAGAUUACUAGACUACAAGCAUUAUUUAACUAUGCCUUUACAAGAUUGAACACAUUCUAUGUCUGAAAAGUCUUGCACACUCGUGAUACAUAAUUUUUCCAACAAGGAAUAACUAGGCUGUGCUCCAAAU